rnacentral:lncRNA from 1 species
GGUUCUGCAGCCAUGAAGAGGACCCCCCCCCGGAGCCUCUGGCGGAGCCCAGGACGCCCCCCCGCUGCCUGAAGGCCAAACGCAAGAGCGUCUGCGGCCGGCCCCGCAAGAGGCCGGCCCCCGACAGAGGUGCGCGGGUACGAGCGGGCGGGUCGUUCCACUGGGCUGAAACCGUCCCACAGCGUCGGCUGUUCCAGACCACAACAGUCCUCUGUCAGGAAACAUCUCCUUCUCUCAGUCUGGAAUGGCGCUCAAGCUGAUAUCCCCUGCUGUCCCAGCCCUUGUGCUGCUGCUUAUCCUGAAGAAAAGUCCCCUAAGCUUGUGCCCGCCAGGAUCGUGGCAUUUCUGCCACAAGUCCCCAAGCAGAGUAGAGGCUCGGCCCCAGGCUAAAGAGGGCGUGACCUCCCCUCCUUUUCUGCCACCUCCAGAGCUGCACUGUCUUCCCUUUAGCGUAGUAAACAAGAUGGAGCUGAGGUCUGACGGUGUCAGGUAUGACUUAGACACAACUCAUCUGAUUGCAAUUCUACACUUGUAACAGGGCUUAAAACUUCUGUUGUCAAUCUUUUUGUUGCUGCUGUGCUGUGUCUAGAUCAGGCAGUGAGGAGCUGUGCUGUGUCUAGAUCAGGCAGUGUGAGGAGCUGUGCUGUGUCUAGAUCAGGCAGUGAGGAGCUGUGCUGUGUCUAGAUCAGUCAGUGUGAGGAGCUGUGCUGUGUCUAGAUCAGUCAGUAUGAGGAGCUGUGCUGUGUCUAGAUCAGGCAGUGAGGAGCUGUGCUGUGUCUAGAUCAGUCAGUGUGGGAGAGCUGCUCAUGCGCUCAAAGCAACACUGUGCUAUGCUCUGUGCUGCUCUGACAGAGCUGUGUGAGGACGUGCCGGAGAAGAGGCGCAGGCUGUAUGGGGCGCAGAGUGACCUCAGAGACGGACACCCCAACACCCGAUUGGGGUCACUGGCCCUGUGGGAUGAGCGCCCGGAGUGGCCGGCGUUCCAGUCAGGGACAAUCCAGGCACAGGACAGGACAGCACAGGACAGCAGCAGCUCCCUGGACUCAGAGCUGAGCCUCAGUCUGCCUUCCUGGAGGACAGCUCCCUCUGCUGAGACCCCAGGAGGGCAAGAGCCGAGGACCCCUGGGGACAGCAGCUGGUGCUCCGCCUGCGGGGAGAGGACAGGCAGCGAGGAGGACGGCUCCUGC